rnacentral:rRNA from 1 species
UACGGAGGGGGCUAGCGUUGUUCGGAAUUACUGGGCGUAAAGCGUACGUAGGCGGCUUUGUAAGUUAGAGGUGAAAGCCCGGGGCUCAACCCCGGAAUUGCCUUUAAGACUGCAUCGCUUGAACGUCGGAGAGGUGAGUGGAAUUCCGAGUGUAGAGGUGAAAUUCGUAGAUAUUCGGAAGAACACCAGUGGCGAAAGGCGGCUCACUGGACGACUGUUGACGCUGAGGUACGAAAGCGUGGGGAGCAAACAGG